UGCACCCCAGCGAUUAGGGCACAAGCGGCUGUAACCUGGGUGCUUAAUUAGAGUGUACCGCCUUAAUUGGGAGUUAGACCUUCUCUGGCUAAUAUUUAGACAGCGUUUGGGAGCGGUUGCUAUGUAGUGAUAUUUAUGCCAAGUAUGUGGGGAUGUUCCUUCACUUUCUCAACAGUAACAGUCUCUUUUGCGGCAGUGGGGCUCAACCAGGGGUACAUAUACCCCUAGCGGUAGGCCGAGGUCUUUCAGAGGGUACAGCUUUAGAUAUUUGCGUAGUUUUACAACAGGCUACAUAAUAAGCACCAGUGAGUCAAUGCAAAGUAAAAUUUCACACAGUGACUCAUUUAUACCGCUCUAUAUAUGAUGCACUGACAUGGUUGGUAAUUCUGUAGCCUGAAAUCUCUGAAGAACAGAAAACCAAAGAAGACAGAGUAAAAGAGGAGAGAUCUGGGCUCAGGAACCGGAAAGAUUGCCACCAGGACUGAUCCAGGGAUCCCAUCUCCUUGGAUCUGUGAGAAAUUGUAGUAAAAUCAACACAAUUACACAGUCUGAAGCAGCCCAAGUAACUGCUCUCCCAAGAGAAAGCAGUAGGAAAAGGACUGGCUGGUGGAUCUAUGGAGCUGUGUAUACAUCACUACCAAACUGCCCAAGCUGCAUGGAAGUCUUGGCCAUGAUGUUCUGCUCUACUAUACACACCCACAGGAGUUGGAGAGAGGAUCUACCCUGCCCCACCCCCCAAUAACCAGCCAUCGCUAGUUAGCCACUCAAUCAUUACUGAAAGGAUAUCCUCUUGAGCCACAUUGUAUUGAAUGAAGUGCCUAUGAGACUUCCAUUUCACUGAACGGGAAUUGCCUUGUAGCUAUUUUAUGCUGCCCUUUCUGUGACUCCAAAAUAAACAAACAAACAAACACUAAUUCUAGGCUUUUGAAGAAACUUUCAUGACACAGCUUUACAGAGAAUGACAUAAUUGCUGAUGCUGAGAGUGAGUGGAUGAAUGACUCUUCACUUCUCCCUUGCCUUGAUAUGAAAAGCCUAAAUUUUCAUAAAUCUCUAGCUUUAGGAGAAGGAUUGAGAAUUGACUAAAUCAGCCACUGACUUGUAAAAUAAAACCUCAUUUAAAUGUCAUCCUGCAAGUAACAAGACUGCUCCUGGAACAUGAAAAAACAGACAAACGUCGUGCUGUUUUUCUGAAGAGUUAAUUGAUUUUUUUAUGUAAAUACAGACUGAGGACGUAUGCAAAUAAGAGCAGCUCUGAUCUACAGUACGUUGUGCCUGGUUUUGGUGUUUUACGGUCCUGACAUUUACAGAGGCCAAUAGCUUUAUCCUUGGAGUGCUGAAAUGUUAGCAGCCCAGCAGGGUCUGCUUUUCAAAUCUUCCUGCAAAAAAAAAUCUGUGUUGAGCACCAGCAGAGAAGCAUCAGGGGUUGGGCUUGGUUCAUUAUGUUCAUCAUUGUGAUGAUAGGGUUUUUACACCCUACAUCUCACAUCUGGGCAACCCACUGUGCAAUACAUCAAAGCACUGCGUUAUUUUCCAAUCUCCAAUAUUCCAGUAGUGGAACUGGACUGGAUUUGACUCUCUCUCUCAUGUUUCCCAAAAGGUUAACCUGAGGCCUACCACUAGUGUAGUGUUUCCUCCAACAAACUGUAAGACUAACACUUUGUCCAAAUGGGUUGAAAAGUAUCUCUCACAAUAGUGGCCUUCCUAAACUGUUCCUUAUUUGUAUCAUGUGUUAGUGCAAAUAGCUGCCUUAACAAUCCCACAAUCUCAGGGGCAAAUCGUACAGUUCUUAUUCAGGCAACACUUCCAUUUAAGUCAAUGGAAAUAUUGCCAGAAUAAAGACUGCAAAAUAUGGCCCACAGAUUGCAAGAUCUAUGAAACCGUUUUGAUUUGUGCAUGCCAGCCCCUGUAAGUGGUGCAUACACUUAAAGCGCUAUAUUAAUAAUAAUGAUAGUAAGUAAGUAUUGUAAUAAGCUUGAGUGUUGUUGUUUUCUCUUCUGGAGGCUGAGCCUAUCAGAAAAGGGCUAUUUCACCCACUAUUCUGAAAGACUGGUAAAUAAACGUUGGUUAUGGAGAGUGAUUAAUUCAGUCUGGUUAACCACAUGAUUAGUAAGGUAGUGUUAAGUCAACUUGCAUGGAAAUCUACACAAUGUUCAGUCUAGGCUGCAUGCUUGUUAAACCAAGUCAGCCUAUGAAAUGUUUAAGCAACAAGGCUUAGUGUUUUCAGCGAAGUUACGCAUGAUCCUGCAAUUUCCCCCCCAAAACCCCAGACCUAGUGGAGGCUGCCUUGUUUUGCUUUCAUUCCUGGAAAAUGAGAUACUUCUGGCACUAGGAUACCAGCUGGAAUAUCAUUGCAUCAGCAUUACCCAAUCAGUGGUAUCUGGUGAUGUGACACCUCUUCUCAGGGAGCAGUAUUAAAUGAUGGAAAAGAUUAGGGUAAUCACUGGA